rnacentral:rRNA from 1 species
AAACUUUCAACAACGGAUCUCUUGGUUCCGGCAUCGAUGAAGAACGCAGCGAAAUGCGAUAAGUAAUGUGAAUUGCAGAAUUCCGUGAAUCAUCGAAUCUUUGAACGCACAUUGCGGCCCCCUGGCAUUCCGGGGGGCAUGCCUGUUCGAGCGUCAUU